rnacentral:rRNA from 1 species
UGAGGAAUAUUGGUCAAUGGGCGAGAGCCUGAACCAGCCAAGUAGCGUGCAGGAUGACGGCCCUAUGGGUUGUAAACUGCUUUUAUGUGGGGAUAAAGUGCGUGACGUGUCAUGCAUUGCAGGUACCACAUGAAUAAGGACCGGCUAAUUCCGUGCCAGCAGCCGCGGUAAUACGGAAGGUCCGGGCGUUAUCCGGAUUUAUUGGGUUUAAAGGGAGCGUAGGCUGUCUAUUAAGCGUGUUGUGAAAUUUACCGGCUCAACCGGUGGCUUGCAGCGCGAACUGGUCGACUUAGUAUGCAGGAAGUAGGCGGAAUUCAUGGUGUAGCGGUGAAAUGCUUAGAUAUCAUGACGAACUCCGAUUGCGCAGGCAGCUUACUGUAGCAUAACUGACGCUGAUGCUCGAAAGUGCGGGUAUCAAACAGG